rnacentral:rRNA from 1 species
CCUACGGGGGGCAGCAGUGAGGAAUAUUGGUCAAUGGGCGGAAGCCUGAACCAGCCAAGUCGCGUGAGGGAAUAAGGCCCUACGGGUCGUAAACCUCUUUUGCCGGGGAGCAAGGGCGGGGACGUGUCCCGGCCCGGAGAGAACCCGGAGAAAAAGCAUCGGUUAAUCCCGUGCCAGCAGCCGCGGUAGUACGGAGGAUGCGAGCGUUAUCGGGAUUCAUUGGGUUUAAAGGGGGCGUAGGCGGGCUUUUAAGUCAGCGGUAAAAAUUGGGGGCUCAACCCCGUCCGGCCGUUGAAACUGGGGGCCUUGAGGUGGCGAGAAGAAGGCGGAAUGCGUGGUGUAGCGGUGAAAUGCUUAGAUAUUGCGCAGAACUCCGAUUGCGAAGGCAGCAUACCGGCGGCGAUCUGACGCUGAGGCACGAAAGCGUGGGUAUCGAACAGGAUUAGAUACCCGAGUAGUC